AGCAAGCAGCAGCAUUGUCCUCCAUUUAAACACUGACAUGUAGGACUGAUUGAGAUUGACAAGAAGAUGUCCUGUCCAGCCUCCCUAAACUGCAGGUGCACGUAGAACAGCUUUCUUUCUUCCCUCUUGUCUUCCUCCUUGAACCUGCAGCCACAGCCUGCAUGGAGAUGAGCAGUUCAAAAAAGUCUGACAACCCCUGAGCUGGACAAUGGAACAACAAAUUGAAACCUGAUUUUUAGCGUUGGCCAACUUCACUGCUGUAAAUGCUCUCAUCAUGACCAAUUUCAAGCUACCAGUGUGAAGUUGCUGAAGGUGGAGUGGGAAGAGACAUGCAGAAGCAUACCACUAUAUAGUAUUUCUACCAUACUGAUGUAAUAGCCACCAAUGCCUCAAAAACAGAUAAUAGUACCAUGUAGCAAAAGAUUUAGGAAGCAACAUAUUUUGAGUAUUUAUUAACUUUGAUUUUAACAUACUUUAACUGUAAGUUUAUAUACUUUAUUUUUAAUAAUGGCUGUUUUUAAUAACUGGCUCACCAAAUUCCUGACAUUUUAACAGUUGGCUUCAGAUUGAAGACCCAAUCAGAAUUUCUGAUUCCGUAGGACUGAGGUGGAGUCUGAGAAUUUGCAGUUCUAACAAGUUCCCCGGUGAUGCUGAUGCUGCUGGUCUGGGGGCCGCACUUUGAGACCCAGAGCCGUAUUAUCUUAAGCAAUAGCAGAAUCAGCCUUUGUUUGAGAUGGGUAUUCCAAAUCAUGUUAAA
rnacentral:lncRNA from 1 species